rnacentral:rRNA from 1 species
GCCCAGCCGUAAACUAUUAACUUACACCAAAAAACGCCAGGGGACUACGAGCAAAGCUUAAAACCCAAAGGACUUGACGGUGUCCUAUCCAGCUAGAGGAGCCUGUCCUAUAAUCGAUAAUCCCCGCUAUACCUCACCAUUUCUUGCUUAUCAGCCUGUAUACCGCCGUCGAAAGCUGACCGUAUGAACGUCCAAAGUCAGCUAAAUGGCCACCCGCCAAUACGUCAGGUCAAGGUGCAGCUUAUGAAAUGGGAAGAGAUGGGCUACAAUUUCUAGUAUAGAACAUACGGAUUGUUAGGUGAAACCCUAACAUGAAGGAGGAUUUAGUAGUAAAAAGAAAAUAGAGUGUUCUUUUGAAUUAGGCCCUGGGACGCGUACACACCGCCCGUCACCCCCCUCGAUAGCAUCUCUUAACAGUACAUAACACAAUAUUCGCGCCUU